rnacentral:rRNA from 1 species
CCAUUUAGAGGAAGUAAAAGUCGUAACAAGGUUUCCGUAGGUGAACCUGCGGAAGGAUCAUUACCGAGACAGCGGGCAACCGCACAUCUCCACCCUUGAAUAUACAUAUAUAUGUUGCUUUAGCGGGCCGUUAGGGCCUUCCUAGCCCGGCUCCGGCCGGUCGUGCCCGCUGAAGACACCCCCAACCCUGAAUUUUAGUGUCGUCUGAGUACUAUCUAAUAGUUAAAACUUUCAACAACGGAUCUCUUGGCUCUGGCAUCGAUGAAGAACGCAGCGAAAUGCGAUAAGUAAUGUGAAUUGCAGAAUCCAGUGAAUCAUCGAAUCUUUGAACGCACAUUGCGCCCCGUGGCAUUCCGCGGGGCAUGCCUGUUCGAGCGUCAUUACAACCACUCCAGCCCUCGCUGGGUCUUGGGCCCCGCCAGCUGGCGGGCCUUAAAUGCCGUGGCGGUCCUGCCAGGCUCUUAGCGUAGUACUGCUCUCGCUAUAGGGUCCUGGGAGCGGCUGGCCAACAACCCCAAUUCUUUCAGGUUGACCUCGGAUCAGGUAGGGAUACCCGCUGAACUUAAGCAUAUCAAUAA